GACGAACGCUGGCGGCGUGCCUAAUACAUGCAAGUCGAACGCAGUGGGGACGGGUGAGUAACACGUGGGUAACCUCCCAUCAGAGGGGAUAACACUUGGAAACAGGUGCUAAACCGAUACUGAUGGAUGGACCCGCGGUGCAUUAGCUAGUUGGUGAGGUAACUGCUCACCAAGGCCACGAUGGAUAGCAGGUCUGAGAGGACGAUCAGCCACACUGGAACGGAGACACGGCCCAGACUCCUACGAGAGGCAGCAGUGGGGAAUAUUGGGCAAUGGACGAAAGCUUGAAGGAGCAAUGCCGCGUGAGUGAAGAAGGUUUUCGGAUCGUAAAACUCUUUUAUUAGAGAAGCGGUAGCGGACCAAGAAGCCCCGGCUAACUACGUGCCAGCAGCCGCGGUAAUAC
rnacentral:rRNA from 1 species